CCAGAAUUCCCAGGUGUUUCUUGUAUUUAGUCAUCAGCACUGAACACAGAAGACUCACCAUGGAGUUUGGGCUGAGCUGGGUUUUUCUCGUUGCUAUUAUAAGAGGUGUCCAGUGUGAGGUGCAGCUGGUGGAGUCUGGGGGAGGCUUGGUUCAGCCCGGGGGGGGUCCCUGAGACUCACCUGUGCAGCCUCUGGAUUCACCUUCAGUAACUACUGGAUGAACUGGGUCCGCCAGGCUCCAGGGAAGGGGCUGGAGUGGAUUGGACAAAUUAAUCCUAAUGGAGGUAGCACAUACCUCACAGACUCCGUGAAGGGCCGGUUCACCAUCUCCAGAGACAACGCCAAGAACACGCUUCAUCUACGAAUGAACCGCCUGAAAACCGAGGACGCGGCCAUGUAUUACUGUGCUGGAGACACAGUGAGGGGAGCUCAGUGUGAGCCCAGACACAAACCUCCCUGCAGGGGCGCGCGGGGCCACCAGGGGGCGCUCGGGACCCACCGAGGACGGGACAGGUCCCAGGAGCAGGUGCAGGGGGGGAUCCACCUCUUAACUGCAGGAGGCAGCCUUGUUUUUGCAGGACUAAGCAGUCUUCUGAGACGGACACACUGGGACAAAAAGAUUUUUGUGACUGUCCCAUUUUGGGGAAAAGGGAUUGAAGAGAAUAGGAAAGCUCUUCAGCAUGUGGUCCCUGAGAAAUUCACACUCAACACGUUUGCCACACUCGACUUCAAUGUGUCCAAUAUAGAAGUUGUUUUUAUCUUGUAA